AUUGAACGCUGGCGGCAUGCCUUACACAUGCAAGUCGAACGGUAACGCGGGGCAACCUGGCGACGAGUGGCGAACGGGUGAGUAAUGUAUCGGAACGUGCCCAGUUGUGGGGGAUAACUGCUCGAAAGAGCAGCUAAUACCGCAUACGACCUGGGGGUGAAAGCGGGGGAUCGCAAGACCUCGCGCAAUUGGAGCGGCCGAUAUCAGAUUAGGUAGUUGGUGGGGUAAAGGCCUACCAAGCCUACGAUCUGUAGCUGGUCUGAGAGGACGGCCAGCCACACUGGGACUGAGACACGGCCCAGACUCCUACGGGAGGCAGCAGUGGGGAAUUUUGGACAAUGGGGGCAACCCUGAUCCAGCCAUGCCGCGUGCGGGAAGAAGGCCUUCGGGUUGUAAACCGCUUUUGUCAGGGAAGAAAUCCUUUGAACUAAUACUUCGGAGGGAUGACGGUACCUGAAGAAUAAGCACCGGCUAACUACGUGCCAGCCGCCGCAGUAAAAC
rnacentral:rRNA from 1 species